GUGGGGAAUAUUGGGCAAUGGACGCAAGUCUGACCCAGCAACGCCGCGUGAAGGAAGAAGGCUUUCGGGUUGUAAACUUCUUUUGUCAGGGAACAGUAGAAGAGGGUACCUGACGAAUAAGCCACGGCUAACUACGUGCCAGCAGCCGCGGUAAUACGUAGGUGGCAAGCGUUGUCCGGAUUUACUGGGUGUAAAGGGCGUGUAGCCGGAGAGACAAGUCAGAUGUGAAAUCCGCGGGCUCAACCCGCGAACUGCAUUUGAAACUGUUUCCCUUGAGUAUCGGAGAGGUAACCGGAAUUCCUAGUGUAGCGGUGAAAUGCGUAGAUAUUAGGAAGAACACCAGUGGCGAAGGCGGGUUACUGGACGACAACUGACGGUGAGGCGCGAAAGCGUGGGGAGCAAACAGGAUUAGAAACCCCAGUAGUCC
rnacentral:rRNA from 1 species